AACGAACGCUGGCGGCAUGCCUAACACAUGCAAGUCGAACGAGACCUUCGGGUCUAGUGGCGCACGGGUGCGUAACGCGUGGGAACCUGCCCUUAGGUUCGGAAUAACUCCCCGAAAGGGGUGCUAAUACCGGAUAAUGUCUUCGGACCAAAGAUUUAUCGCCUUUGGAUGGGCCCGCGUUGGAUUAGCUAGUUGGUAGGGUAAAAGCCUACCAAGGCGACGAUCCAUAGCUGGUCUGAGAGGAUGAUCAGCCACACUGGGACUGAGACACGGCCCAGACUCCUACGGGAGGCAGCAGUGGGGAAUAUUGGACAAUGCGCGAAAGCCUGAUCCAGCAAUGCCGCGUGAGUGAUGAAGGCCUUAGGGUUGUAAAGCUCUUUUACCCGGGAUGAUAAUGACAGUACCGGGAGAAUAAGCUCCGGCUAACUCCGU
rnacentral:rRNA from 1 species